UCCGGUGUCUGGAGUUACUCUCACUUUGUUCCAGGUGAAGCAGAAGUGCUGCUCCCCGUUAAACUGUUGGAAGCAGCAGGAGAAACAUGGAUCUGGACCUGGACCUGGACCUGGACCUGGAACUGGGCCUGGACCUGGACCUGGACCCGGACCUGGAUCUGGACCUGGACCUGGACCUGGACCUGGACCUGGACCUGGACCCGGACCCGGACCUGGACCUGGACCCGGACCCGGACCUGGACCUGGACCUGGACCCGGACCUGGACCCAGCAUUAAAAGAGUUCUGCAGGAGUUCUCAGAGGUUCCCAGUGGUCAGUCUGCCCCGCAGCAUCACACAGACCUGGACUCCAUAUUUAUGCAGCUCUUCAACACAUGCAGCAUCUAGAGAACAUUCAGCAGAGGAAACAUGAGCAGUUUACUAAAAGCUGCAGAAACCACACGCUGCAAGAAGCUCCAACACAACGGAGACCAGGGGACACUAAAGAGAGACGCACACAGCUGGAGACCAGGGGACACUAAAGAGAGACGCACACAGCUGGAGACCAGGGGACACUAAAGAGAGACGCACACAGCUGGAGACCAGGGGACACUAAAGAGAGACGCACACAGCUGGAGACCAGGGGACACUAAAGAGAGACGCACACAGCUGGAGACCAGGGGACACUAAAGACAGACUCACACAGCUGGAGACCAGGGGACACUAAAGAGAGACGCACACAGCUGGAGACCAGGGGACACUAAAGAGAGACGCACACAGCUGGAGACCAGGGGACACUAAAGAGAGACGCACACAGCUGGAGACCAGGGGACACUAAAGAGAGACGCACACAGCUGGAGACCAGGGGACACUAAAGAGAGACGCACACAGCUGGAGACCAGGGGACACUAAAGAGAGACACACACAGCUGGAGACCAGGGGACACUAAAGAGAGACGCACAGCUGGAGACCAGGGGACACUAAAGAGAGAUGCACAGAUAGAGGUGAAGGUCUUCCAGAAGAAGUUCUUGCAGCCGGCCUUCCUCUCUCGGGGGGAAAGCAGCGGCCCGGCAGCGGCGUCUCGUUCCAGAUCCACGCGGACGUUCUCCGGUUCUCCUGCAGCUGCAGGGAACCCGUCCUCCUCCAGAGCCUCGUUCUCCUGCAGCAGGUCCGAGAGCAGCAGCUCGGCCAGCGACGCCCGGGACAACUCCUGAGGAAAUAUAAUGAACUAUAUUUCUUAAAUAAACACACAUCACAGAUAAAGUAUACACAUAUUAAACAGAAGGAAAGAUAUUAAAAUAAAAACGAUCUUUUUUUCAAUUUAACUGAAAAUGUAUUGAUUUUUCAAAA